GGACUCUGACUUUCAUUUUGAGCCUGUGCUGGAAAGUGGUUUGAGAGAGAAAUAUGUAUUAAGUAAUAAGUUCUAAGUAAUAGAGUUUAAAGUAAUAAACUAAUUUUAGAUAAAGAAGUUGCUGUUAAUCCCAAAUUGGGUCUUGGGAUACAGUCAGUGGAAUAUGUGAAGUUUAUGAAGAUUUUUAAAAUAAGAAAAUGUAUUGAAGCUACUUCAGGAACACUUUAGCACUGGACGUAGACUAAGUCAACAGCAUAAUAAUUAAGCAAGAGCUAAUUGUGGUUCUGGCAGGAGCCCGUCAAAGAUAAUUAGCCGAGAGGAAUAUGAAUGUGAGAUACCUCCUGACCCAGUUCCAGAACAUCUAGAUAGAAUCUGGAUGGUGAAGAAGCCAUUAGAUGCAAAAGAAGAUGAACUCUGCCAUACAAAGGAAUUUACCCACCCAUAAUCUAGACCAGAAUUGGUUUUCUCCAGGAAACAAGGACAAAACUUGAAGAGACCCUGGAGAAGCAGCCCUUCUGACCGGAUGUUACACUCUUUCCAUGUCUUGGUUGCAAUUGUAAUGUCUAUCUGCUUAAUUAACACAGCAGUGACUGGCUGCACAAGAACAGAUUUAAAUCAUCUUGCGGGUUUGUUGAAUUCAGCCUGAAGCCAUCACUUUACCUUGAACAUUUAUUGGACUCCACAGGAGAGCUCCCACUCUGUAAUCAGCUUUUGUGUGUGUGGACCUUGAGUGUAUGUGUUUGCAGUUGGAGCAUUUUAGUUUUUUUUUACUGGACUGCAUUAAGCAAAAUAAUAUGUAUCUCUUUAGCAAAGUGUGUCUGUAUGAGAGAGGAAGAGAGACAAGCCUCUGCAUCAGACAAGGUUGAAUGCUACUUCAGCUGCACCAGGACUGACUGUCAGUGGUGGAAAUGAAAGAAGUUACAGCAGCUUCUACCUGCUCUGAAAUCUACCUGAAGUCUUUAGAUCUGGGAUGUGGAGAAUACAUUGAAUGUGGCAACUUCUAAAACCUGUUUUGUCCAUCUUAAACUGAGCUGUUCAAUCAGCUUCUAGCCAGUGUGGUGAUGGACCACUAUCUUUCAGAUUGUGAACCUAUUCUCUUGGCUUUUGGACGGUAGUGACUUGGGAAUGCGUACCUCAGAAAGGUCUGACUUGAAGUUUUAGACUUUGUCACUUGAUAGUAAACUCCCCAACUCUCUUCCCCAACCCUUCCAUUUGUUUUCAAUGACGUUACCUUGAAACCUUUCAAAUUCCAAGGAACACAACUUUGUCUGCAGAAGACAGUUUCUCAAUUUAAUCAUUUGAGUUCUGGUCCAAAGCUCCAACACUCAAAAAGCUUGAUACCAUCCAGGAAAAGGAUCCUGCUUGAUUGGCAUCACAUCCAUCACCACCAACACUCAGUAACAACAGUGUAUGCCACCUAGAAAAAUGCACUGCAAAAAUUCACCAAGGUGCCUCUUUCAGCACCUUCCCAAACCAUGACUUCUACCAUUUGGAAGGAUAAGAGCAGUAGAUACAUAGGAACACUAACUCCUGACUUGGAAAUGCAGCACAGUUCUUUUAGUGACAUUUGAUCAAAAUCCUCAAACUCCCUUCCUCCUGGAACUCUGGGUCUAUCUACAGCACAUGGGUUGCACAUGAUCAAGGAGGCAGCUCACCACCAACUUCUCCAGGACAACCAGGGACAGGCAAUAAAUGUUGGUCCAGCCAGUGACACCCAUGUCCCAUGAAUGAAUUAGAAAAAAAACUCAUCUGCUUGUGAGACUGGCUAUCCUGUUGUCAUUUGUUCAUGGAUAUAACAAAUGUUUGCUGUUGCCAACAACUGUCAAUUUCCUAAUCCUUCACGAAUACCUAGAUAACAAGCAGUAAAAUUUAGGAAAAUAUCUGUGAAUUGCAAAUUGUAUCUAAAUACAUGAAACAAUUACAAUGUGAUAGACAAAUUAAUUGCAGAGAGAGCGACAAAUUGGUUCAACUGAAUAGCUAUUGCAGAGAUCACGUUGCUUGGUGACUGAUGUUGGGAGCCAAAUAUUCAGGGUGCUUGGUCUCUAAAAGUCAGCCUUGUGAUGCAUUUGGAAUGGGUAAUAAUAAAGUCUGACAAAAGAACAGCACUGAGGAAGGACCUAAAAUCAUGAGACCAGGAAGUAAAGUCAUUCUGGAUGAAGAUAAGAAGUAACAAGGAACAUAAAGUGCUGGUGAAAGUAGUCUAUUCACACAUUCACAUUUUAAUGCAUUUAUCAUGAAGUAUGAGUAAUUUUUAGCAAAUAAAACACAAUGAAUGUG